GGUCACAAUGUAUUUAAUGUUAAUCAAUUAUAGGUCAAAGUACGGCCUUCAAGACGGAGCCUUGGCUUACCCCGAACAGCAAUCUCAGUUUGUUUUUGCAUAAAAAUUGCUUCCAGGUUCAAGCAAUACUGACGUUUCUUAAAGUAAGUAAAUCGAAGGAAAACAGGUCAUUUUUAGCCAUUUUACUGCGAGAAAAAAAUCGGCGGGGGCUGCGCCCCCAACCCCCUCUCUCUUAGGGGGCCUCAAUCGGCGGCCCCACAUCCCUGCCUCCCCUGAAUUCGAACUCUAGUUAC
rnacentral:lncRNA from 1 species